AACGAACGCUGGCGGCAUGCCUAACACAUGCAAGUCGAACGAGACCUUCGGGUCUAGUGGCGCACGGGUGCGUAACGCGUGGGAUCCUGCCCUUAGGUUCGGAAUAACUCCCCGAAAGGGGUGCUAACACCGGAUAAUGUCUUCUGACCAAAGAUUUAUCGCCUUUGGAUGGGCCCGCGUUGGAUUAGCUAGUUGGUAGGGUAAAAGCCUACCAAGGCGACGAUCCAUAGCUGGUCUGAGAGGAUGAUCAGCCACACUGGGACUGAGACACGGCCCAGACUCCUACGGGAGGCGGCAGUGGGGAAUAUUGGAAAAUAGGCGAAAGCCUGAUCCAGCAAUGCCGCGUGAAUGAUGAAGGCCUGAGGGUAGUAAAGCUCUAUUACCCGGGAUGAUAAUGACAGUACCGGAAGAAUAAGCUCCGGCUAACUCCGUG
rnacentral:rRNA from 1 species